GACAGAGGUGCCGAGCGUUAGGCGGAAUCACUGGGCUUAAAGCGUGUGUAGGCGGGUCGGUAAGUGUCUUGUGAAAUCCCACCGCUCAACGGUGGAACUGCUGGGCAUACUGGCGAUCUUGAGCCACCUAGGGGCGGACGGAACAAGCGGUGGAGCGGUGAAAUGCGUAGAUAUCGCUUGGAACGCCGACGGUGAAAACAGUCUGCUGGGGGUGUGCUGACGCUGAGACACGAAAGCCAGGGGAGCGAACGGG
rnacentral:rRNA from 1 species